UUAAGCGACUAAGCGUACACGGUGGAUGCCCUGGCAGUCAGAGGCGAUGAAGGACGUGCUAAUCUGCGAUAAGCGUCGGUAAGGUGAUAUGAACCGUUAUAACCGGCGAUUUCCGAAUGGGGAAACCCAGUGUGAUUCGUCACACUAUCAUUAACUGAAUCCAUAGGUUAAUGAGGCGAACCGGGGGAACUGAAACAUCUAAGUACCCCGAGGAAAAGAAAUCAACCGAGAUUCCCCCAGUAGCGGCGAGCGAACGGGGAGCAGCCCAGAGCCUGAAUCAGUGUGUGUGUUAGUGGAAGCGUCUGGAAAGGCGCGCGAUACAGGGUGACAGCCCCGUACACAAAAAUGCACAUGCUGUGAGCUCGAUGAGUAGGGCGGGACACGUGGUAUCCUGUCUGAAUAUGGGGGGACCAUCCUCCAAGGCUAAAUACUCCUGACUGACCGAUAGUGAACCAGUACCGUGAGGGAAAGGCGAAAAGAACCCCGGCGAGGGGAGUGAAAAAGAACCUGAAACCGUGUACGUACAAGCAGUGGGAGCACAGAGCAAUCUGUGUGACUGCGUACCUUUUGUAUAAUGGGUCAGCGACUUAUAUUCUGUAGCAAGGUUAACCGAAUAGGGGAGCCGAAGGGAAACCGAGUCUUAACUGGGCGUUAAGUUGCAGGGUAUAGACCCGAAACCCGGUGAUCUAGCCAUGGGCAGGUUGAAGGUUGGGUAACACUAACUGGAGGACCGAACCGACUAAUGUUGAAAAAUUAGCGGAUGACUUGUGGCUGGGGGUGAAAGGCCAAUCAAACCGGGAGAUAGCUGGUUCUCCCCGAAAGCUAUUUAGGUAGCGCCUCGUGAAUUCAUCUCCGGGGUAGAGCACUGUUUCGGCAAGGGGGUCAUCCCGACUUACCAACCCGAUGCAAACUGCGAAUACCGGAGAAUGUUAUCACGGGAGACACACGGCGGGUGCUAACGUCCGUCGUGAAGAGGGAAACAACCCAGACCGCCAGCUAAGGUCCCAAAGUCAUGGUUAAGUGGGAAACGAUGUGGGAAGGCCCAGACAGCCAGGAUGUUGGCUUAGAAGCAGCCAUCAUUUAAAGAAAGCGUAAUAGCUCACUGGUCGAGUCGGCCUGCGCGGAAGAUGUAACGGGGCUAAACCAUGCACCGAAGCUGCGGCAGCGACGCUUAGGCGUUGUUGGGUAGGGGAGCGUUCUGUAAGCCUGCGAAGGUGUACUGUGAGGUAUGCUGGAGGUAUCAGAAGUGCGAAUGCUGACAUAAGUAACGAUAAAGCGGGUGAAAAGCCCGCUCGCCGGAAGACCAAGGGUUCCUGUCCAACGUUAAUCGGGGCAGGGUGAGUCGACCCCUAAGGCGAGGCCGAAAGGCGUAGUCGAUGGGAAACAGGUUAAUAUUCCUGUACUUGGUGUUACUGCGAAGGGGGGACGGAGAAGGCUAUGUUGGCCGGGCGACGGUUGUCCCGGUUUAAGCGUGUAGGCUGGUUUUCCAGGCAAAUCCGGAAAAUCAAGGCUGAGGCGUGAUGACGAGGCACUACGGUGCUGAAGCAACAAAUGCCCUGCUUCCAGGAAAAGCCUCUAAGCAUCAGGUAACAUCAAAUCGUACCCCAAACCGACACAGGUGGUCAGGUAGAGAAUACCAAGGCGCUUGAGAGAACUCGGGUGAAGGAACUAGGCAAAAUGGUGCCGUAACUUCGGGAGAAGGCACGCUGAUAUGUAGGUGAAGCGACUUGCUCGUGGAGCUGAAAUCAGUCGAAGAUACCAGCUGGCUGCAACUGUUUAUUAAAAACACAGCACUGUGCAAACACGAAAGUGGACGUAUACGGUGUGACGCCUGCCCGGUGCCGGAAGGUUAAUUGAUGGGGUCAGCGCAAGCGAAGCUCUUGAUCGAAGCCCCGGUAAACGGCGGCCGUAACUAUAACGGUCCUAAGGUAGCGAAAUUCCUUGUCGGGUAAGUUCCGACCUGCACGAAUGGCGUAAUGAUGGCCAGGCUGUCUCCACCCGAGACUCAGUGAAAUUGAACUCGCUGUGAAGAUGCAGUGUACCCGCGGCAAGACGGAAAGACCCCGUGAACCUUUACUAUAGCUUGACACUGAACAUUGAGCCUUGAUGUGUAGGAUAGGUGGGAGGCUUUGAAGUGUGGACGCCAGUCUGCAUGGAGCCGACCUUGAAAUACCACCCUUUAAUGUUUGAUGUUCUAACGUUGACCCGUAAUCCGGGUUGCGGACAGUGUCUGGUGGGUAGUUUGACUGGGGCGGUCUCCUCCUAAAGAGUAACGGAGGAGCACGAAGGUUGGCUAAUCCUGGUCGGACAUCAGGAGGUUAGUGCAAUGGCAUAAGCCAGCUUGACUGCGAGCGUGACGGCGCGAGCAGGUGCGAAAGCAGGUCAUAGUGAUCCGGUGGUUCUGAAUGGAAGGGCCAUCGCUCAACGGAUAAAAGGUACUCCGGGGAUAACAGGCUGAUACCGCCCAAGAGUUCAUAUCGACGGCGGUGUUUGGCACCUCGAUGUCGGCUCAUCACAUCCUGGGGCUGAAGUAGGUCCCAAGGGUAUGGCUGUUCGCCAUUUAAAGUGGUACGCGAGCUGGGUUUAGAACGUCGUGAGACAGUUCGGUCCCUAUCUGCCGUGGGCGCUGGAGAACUGAGGGGGGCUGCUCCUAGUACGAGAGGACCGGAGUGGACGCAUCACUGGUGUUCGGGUUGUCAUGCCAAUGGCACUGCCCGGUAGCUAAAUGCGGAAGAGAUAAGUGCUGAAAGCAUCUAAGCACGAAACUUGCCCCGAGAUGAGUUCUCCCUGACCCUUUAAGGGUCCUGAAGGAACGUUGAAGACGACGACGUUGAUAGGCCGGGUGUGUAAGCGCAGCGAUGCGUUGAGCUAACCGGUACUAAUGAACCGUGAGGCUUAACCUU
rnacentral:rRNA from 1 species